ACGAACGCUGGCGGCGUGCUUAACCCAUGCAAGUCGAACGGAAAGGCCCUGCUUUUGUGGGGUGCUCGAGUGGCGAACGGGUGAGUAACACGUUAUUAACCUGCCCUUGACUUUGGGAUAACUUCAGGAAACUGGGGCUAAUACCGGAUAGGAUCUCCUGCUGCUUGGUGGGGGUUGGAAAGUUUCGGCGGUUGGGGAUGGACUCGCGGCUUAUCAGCUUGUUGGUUGUGUAGUGGCUUACCAAGGCUUUGACGGGUAGCCGGCCUGAGAGGGUGAACGGCAACAUUGGGAAUGAGAGAGGGCACAGACUCGUACGGGAGGAAGCAGUGGGGAAUAUUGCACAAUGGGCGGAAGAGUGAUGCAGAAACGCAGCGUGCGGGAUGACGGCCUUCGGGUUGUAAACAGCUUUCGAAUGUGACGAAGCGUGAGUGACGGUAAUGGGUAAAGAAGCACCGGCUAACUACGUG
rnacentral:rRNA from 1 species